AGUACAUUAUAUUAUUAUAAUAUAUACAAAUACAAUUAUAAAAUAAUAUCUUUUUUUAAACAUUAAGGUUACUUGACUGCUAACACGUUGAGUAAUAAUAAUUUCACAUAAUGUAUUCAGACGUAAACAUUCUUGUUCGUGUUGUUGUAUUUGCGCAGCUUUUACUUUGAAGCCCACUUCCUGUGUCUCGUGGUCUUGUCGUGGUGGAGUGCGCGCGCGCUGACAGCUGGUGGGGGUGGGGGCGUGGCCUCCGCCAGGAAGCACUGCAGCAGAGCUUCAGCCGAAAACCAGGGAAAGACAGAGGAGAGACGGAAGCUCGAGAGGAACAGAAGAGGCGAAACUCAGCCUCGGCAGGAAACAUAUUUUUUAAAUAAGAUAAGAGAAAAUAAGAUAAUCCUUUAUUAGUCCCACGGUCGGGACAUUUCAGGAUCACAGCAGCGGUGCACGUUAGAGCAUUAAUAAAAAUAAAAAUAAUUAAAUUAUUAUUAUUAAAUAUAAUUAAAUUAAAUAAAAAUAAUGCUACUAUAUAAAAACUAAUUCAAAUUAAAUUCACACACACUCAACGGGACUGUUGAAAAACAAACAAAGCGCAACACAAUAUAUUAAAAACAAGAAAUAAUAAAGUGCACUUUGAACUCCGUUUCACUAGCUUACAUUUUCUUUAUGAAUAAAGAUGAAUUAUUAUAUGGCAACAAAGGUACACGCGUUCUGAUUGGCUAAUGGGCCACUUCGUGGCACAACAUGAGACCAACAGCCAACUAUCCAGCGUCAGUAUUACAGCUAAACAAACGGUAAAUAACAAUGUUCGACAACACGUGGUGCUUGUUGUCAAAUCUAAGAGCCAAUCAGCUCUCUGAUGUGGCCACGGCCAGCCGUUGGUUUCCCAGCAUGCAACGGGGCUCAUCGCUGACAGCAGCGCGAGCUGGAAGUGGACGGACCCGAGUGGAGUCAACGGUUUCCCGUGAGUUCGUGAACAUGUGAAACGUCGAAGUCCGAGGAGGAACGUUGCAGUUUAAUAGAGGAGCGCGAGCGCCAACGGAAACGACUGGACGCCAUUUUCUACCCAGAAGUUACAGCGAGCAGGAGAAAUGCUGAGGCCGUUGGUGACGCAGCACGUGGACGAGGUCGUCGACGAGGCUUUUGAGCAGUUGGACUCGUUGACAGCAGCGUAUGAGGACAUCGUUUCUCAAUUAGGAGAACAUGAGUGACACACAUCAGGUCGGUGCCGCUUCACGAUUGUUCCCGGGCUUCAUCUCGUUUCACGGCUUCAAGUCACAUUUGGUCCGUUUCCAGCUCGUCAGCUGCAGUGAGCGAGACUUGUGGUGGAUCUGAUUGGUUUCCAGCUCUGAUCUCAUCAGGGAGGAACUUUAAACACCUCACGGUCCUCGAGUCAAACUGGUGACGGGAUCUGCACCUGGAGAUCUCUUGGGACGGUCUUCAGAACGGCCAGAACAACUUCUGGAGGAGCAAACCGGCCGUAAAGUGAUCCAACUGCCGUAAAGUGAAAUAACUGCCAUAAAGGGUUUGCAUUCACUACCCCCCCCCCCAUCCCACGCCUUCGUCUGCUUCGCCCCCCCAGUGUGACAGGACGGGGUCUGUGGCUGGCGCUGUAAUGGCUGACGGACCGGCUGGCUGCUUGUCGGUGCUGGUUACCUUCUGCCCCCAAUGGAUGGGCUUAGAUCACCCAGUUGUUGGAUUACCUCCCCUCCCCCCUUCCUACUCGCUGCAAGUCAUGUUUAAGAUGUAUGUGCUUAUGUGCUAAGGUGUUUUUUUCCUGCUCCCACACUGUACCCCUCUCGGGGCAUAGUCGGGGGGUUGUUUUUUCUCGCCUCUCUUCCCUCAUGUUAUGCUGUAAUCUUUCAUCCACCCUUUCUUUGCAAUUUCGUUGCUUUUGUACCUGUACUCUAGUCAAUGACAAUAAAACCGAAUACCAUACCAUACCAUA